rnacentral:lncRNA from 1 species
AAAAUUAAAAUAUGAGGGACAAAACCCCUUGAAGUAUUUUCAUAGUUAAAUAAAUACGUUGAUAUCAUGAAUCCAGAAAAACAAAAAUAUUGUAUACAUACAUGAGGUUAGAGAUUUUUUCACAUAGAUAAACAAGUUAAAACAUUGAGCUAGCUUCAGUUGUCACCAACGAUUUCGUAACCAUGAAAACUUGCAAAAUCAAUAUGAAAA